ensembl:lncRNA
GCGGUGGCCGGAGAUCCACUGGUGAUGGGAGCGUUCCAGCAGUGAGGAUGUAGCCGAUAACUCAACAGAGAGGGGUCCCCAGUGCAAGGACCAAAGGAUCCUUAUGGAUACCACUGCCAGAACCCUCUGGAUUCACCCAUUCGAUCCAGCUCAGCCCUGCAAACAUUUGGAGUACCUGCUGAAUGCCAGAUUCCCAGAGAUGCACGCUUCUCCAGUACUAAACAAAAUCUAUAUCCCCGUGAAUCCAGCCCUCAGCCUGAGCUUGCAGGCAGGACAGACAACGGCUGUGUCGUCAUUCAAGUGGUGGCUUGGCUUAAAAGAAACACUGGAAAGAACUGAGCGCAGGGGAGAACAGCCUUAGGGAUACUGAAGACAUGGCUCCUUGCUUUAGGGAUCCAAUCCCGAGUUGUUCCAGAGGCUGUUUCGAGACUCCUGCUGCUGCUGCUGCUAAGUCGCUUCAGUCGUGUCCGACUCUGCGACCCCAUAGACAGCAGCCCACCAGGCUCCCCCGUCCCUGGGAUUCUCCAGGCAAGAACACUGGAGUGGGUUGCCAUUUGUGACUCCUAGAGGAAACUGAAC